rfam:Frankia asymbiotica strain NRRL B-16386 contig_31, whole genome shotgun sequence.
CCUCGGGGACCUGCUGCGGGCAGAUGAAAUGGACGUGGCAGUCGAUCGCGCCGGCGGUGAGGAUCUUGCCGUUGCCGGAGAUGAUCUCGGUGCCGGGGCCGAUCACCAGGUCCGGGUGCACCCCGUCCAUCGUGUCCGGGUUGCCGGCCUUGCCGAGGGCGACGAUCCGGCCGUCGCGGACGCCGACGUCGGCCUUCACGACGCCCCAGUGGUCGAGCACGAUCGCGMCGGUGAUGACCAGGUCGGGCGCGCCCUCGGCGCGGGUGGCCCGCGACUGGCCCAUCGACUCGCGAAUG